UGAGAGUUUGAUCCUGGCUCAGAACGAACGCUGGCGGCAGGCCUCAAACAUGCAAGUCUAGGGGGUGUAGCAAUACAUCACCGGCGGACGGGUGCGUAACACGUGGGAAUAUACCUUUCGGUACGGAACAACUGCGGGAAACUGCAGCUAAUACCGUAUACGUCCUAGCGGAGAAAGAUUUAUCGCCGAAGGAUUAGCCCGCGUUCGAUUAGCUAGUUGGUGGGGUAAUGGCCCACCAAGGCGACGAUCGAUAGCUGUUCUGAGAGGAAGAUCAGCCACACUGGGACUGAGACACGGCCCAGACUCCUACGGGAGGCAGCAGUUGGGAAUCUUGGACAAUGGGGGAAACCCUGAUCCAGCCAUGCCGCGUGAGUGAUGAAGGCCUUCGGGUUGUAAAACUCUUUCGACGGGGACGAUAAUGACGGUACCCGUAGAAGAAGCUCCGGCUAACUUCGUGCCAGCAGCCGCGGUAAUACGAAGGGGGCUAGCGUUGUUCGGAAUUACUGGGCGUAAAGCACGCGCAGAACCUUACCAGGGUUUGACAUCCUACGACCGCUCCCUAAUAGGAGUUUUCCCGCAAGGGACGUAGAGACAGGUGCUGCAUGGCUGUCGUCAGCUCGUGUCGUGAGAUGUUGGGUUAAGUCCCGCAACGAGCGCAACCCUCGCCUUUAGUUGCCAUCAUUAAGUUGGGCACUCUAGAGGGACCGCCGGCGACAAGCCGGAGGAAGGUGGGGAUGACGUCAAGUCCUCAUGGCCCUUACACCCUGGGCUACACACGUGCUACAAUGGCGGUGACAGUGGGCAGCUACUUCGCGAGAAGCGGCUAAUCCCAAAAAACCGUCCCAGUUCAGAUUGCACUCUGCAACUCGAGUGCAUGAAGGUGGAAUCGCUAGUAAUCGCAGAACAGCAGGCUGCGGUGAAUACGUUCCCGGGCCUUGUACACACCGCCCGUCACGGCAUGGGAGUUGGUUCUACCUUAAGACGGUGCGCUAACCGCAAGGAGGCAGCCGGCCACGGUAGGAUCAGCGACUGGGCCGAAGUCGUAACAAGGUAGCCGUAGGGGAACCUGCGGCUG
rnacentral:rRNA from 1 species